CCUACGGGCGGCAGCAGUGGGGGAUAUUGCUCAAUGGGCGAAACCCUGAUGCAGCGACGCCGCGUGGGCGAAGAAGUCUUUCGGUAUGUAAAGCCCUAUUAGCCGGGAAGAAGAAAUGCCGGUACCUGAGUAAGAAGCACCGGCUAAAUACGUGCCAGCAGCCGCGGUAAUACGGAGGGUGCCAGCGGUAUCCGGAUUUACUGGGUGUAAAGGGAGCGCAGGCGGCACGGCAAGCCUGAUGUGAAAGUCCGCGGCCCAACCGCGGGACUGCAUUGGGAACUACCGGGCUGGAGUGCCGGAGAGGUAGGCGGAAUGCCUGGUGUAGCGGUGAAAUGCGUAGAUAUUAGGAAGAACACCAGUGGCGAAGGCGGCCUACUGGACGGUGACUGACGCUGAGGCACGAAAGCGUGGGGAGCAAACAGGAUUAGAUACCCUGGUAGUC
rnacentral:rRNA from 1 species